AUUGAACGCUGGCGGCAGGCCUAACACAUGCAAGUCGAGCGGGUGAAGGGAGCUUGCUCCUGGAUUCAGCGGCGGACGGGUGAGUAAUGCCUAGGAAUCUGCCUGGUAGUGGGGGAUAACGUCCGGAAACGGGCGCUAAUACCGCAUACGUCCUGAGGGAGAAAGUGGGGGAUCUUCGGACCUCACGCUAUCAGAUGAGCCUUGGUCGGAUUAGCUAGUUGGUGGGGUAAAGGCCUACCAAGGCGAAGAUCCGUAACUGGUCUGAGAGGAAGAUCAGUCACACUGGAAGUGAGACACGGUCCAGACUCCUACGGGAGGAAGCAGUGGGGAAUAUUGGGCGAUGGGCGAAAGCCUGAUCCAGCCAUGCCGCGUGUGUGAAGAAGGUCUUCGGAUUGUAAAGCACUUUAAGUUGGGAGGAAGGGCAGUAAGUUAAUACCUGACUGUUUUGACGGUACCAGCAGAAUAAGCACCGGCUAACUUCGUG
rnacentral:rRNA from 1 species